ACCAGGGCUUUGAAUGUGAACUGAGCAACAUCAGACAGGCAAGGGGAGCAAGAUGGAGUCACAGACCCAAGUUCUCAUGUCCCUGCUGCUCUGGGUGUCUGGUAUCUGUGGGGACAUUUUGAUGACCCAGUCUCCAUCCUCCCUGGCUGUGUUAGCAGGAGAGAAGGUCACCAUCAACUGCAAGUCCAGUCAGAGUCUGUUUGGUAGCAAUAGCAAGAAGAACCGCUUAAUCUGGCUCCAGCAGAAACCAGGGCAGGCUCCUAAAUGUCUGAUCUACUGGGGAUCCACUCGGUACACUGGGGUCCCUGAUCGCUUCACAGGCAGUGGGUCUGGGACAGAUUACACUCUCACCAUCAGCAGUGUCCAGGCUGAAGACCUGGCAGAUUAUUACUGUGUGCAGGAUCAUACUUUUCCUCCCACAGUGCUUCAGCCUCCAACAAAAACCUCCUCUGAGAGUCUCACCAGCUGCUUGCACCACAUAUAGCCCUUGGACCUGGACACUUCCACUUCCCCCUUUUGCCAAGAGCUGGUGUGCCUGAAGCCCUGAUGUGAAAAUUGCUGAGCCAAGCAAAAAUAAUGGGUUCAAUGUCUCUUAUGUCUUUUGGUAUGAAAAAAAUGUAUAUAUGAAAAUGCAGGAAAGAAACUAGUAUUAUCUUUCUGUAACAGUUUAUCACAAGCCCUGUUGCUUGAAUAUGAGAGAUUUAUCUUUUUAUAGUUCUAGAGUUCUGGUAUCCAACAUAUGACUCUAUGGGCUGAAGUGAUGAUGUAGGCAAACAUCAUUUUAGUUUGCUGCUCUAGGAAAGGUUCUUUCUUUUUCUAGCUUCUAGAGAACUUUCUUACUUCUUUACUGCUAAAUAUUUCUCAAGUUUUUUCUUUCCUUUUUCAUAAAUUCUUCUACUUUUAAAUUACAUUUUAUUUAAUUACAUUUUUGUACAUGCAUGUGUAUAUGUAUGUAGGUGCACAAGUGUAGUCAGAGGACAACUUGGACAUGAGUCUUUCUUUUUGUUGUAUUGACUCUGGGGAUAAAAUUCAGGUCUCAUGUCAAGCUUUGUGGCAAGCAUCUUUGCCCUCUAAGCAAUCUUUCUUAACACUAAAUUUCUUUAUUAAUGUAUAUUCAUUGCAUACAAACACCAUAAAAACAAUGUCUUUCAAGUGUGUCAUAUAUUAUGACCACAUCCACUGAUCUUCCUUAUUUCCCCUUCCCUUUCCUGCUGUUACUCAUUUUUACUGUAAUCUCUUUUCUAUUUUUUCACACACAUAUACAUAUAUACAUAAGUACAUACACACAUUUGUAGACACAUACCACAUACAUAUGCACAUACACAAAUACACACACACAUAUAUGAUCAUGCACACAUAAAAUGAUACACAUUUAUAUAUAAUAUACAUGUAUACAUACAACAUACAACAUACAACAUAUUUAGGAUCCACAAAGGAAAGAAAAUGUGAUAUUUGUUGCUCAUAUUUCUGGGGCUACAUCUCCCUCUGAAUACUCCUCAUCUGCUUUUCAACUCUUGAGACUGAGAAACCUCUCUCCACUCUAAUGUUGGAUGUAAUGUUGUGUUAGCAGAUGCUGCUCUCCAGUCUUUCCAUCCCAAAUCGAUUAUUGGAAUUUAGUGUUUUUAGAGGGCAAUCAUUUGUGCUCCUGUGUAAACAGUAUGCAGACUAAUCUCAUCAGUGUUCUGAUUAAGAAAUUUAUUGAGCAACUAUUUUGGAGAUACAGCAGGGAACAAGUGUGUUACAGACUAC